GUGCCAGCAGCCGCGGUAAUACAUAGGGGUCAAGCGUUGUCCGGAUUUAUUGGGCGUAAAGAGCUCGUAGGCGGUUCAACAAGUCGGUCGUAAAAGUUUAGGGCUCAACCCUAAAAUGUCGAUCGAUACUGUUGUGACUAGGAUACGGUAGAGGUGCACGGAAUGCGUCAUGUAGCGGUGAAAUGCAUAGAUAUGACGUAGAACACCAAUUGCGAAGGCAGUGCACUAGGGCAUCAUUGACGCUGAGGUACGAAAGCGUGGGUAGCGAACAGGAUUAGAUA
rnacentral:rRNA from 1 species